rnacentral:rRNA from 1 species
UACGAACCGUCCAAGCGUUAUUCGGAAUCACUGGGCUUAAAGAGUCCGUAGGCGGCCAAUUAGGUGAGGUGUGAAAUCCCCCGGCUUAACCGAGGAAUGGCGCUUCAAACCGACUGGCUAGAGGAAGAUAGAGGAAAGCGGAACUGAUGGUGGAGCGGUGAAAUGCGUUGAUAUCAUCAGGAACACCGGUGGCGAAAGCGGCUUUCUGGGUCGUUUCUGACGCUGAGGGACGAAAGCGAGGGGAGCGAACGGG